AAGAAACAGAGGUGGCAGAUUUCAUCAUAAACUAGGGAAAACAGUUUCCAGCUGAAUUAUAGAUACAGCACAAAAUGCAGUUGUUCAUUUUUUAAAACUUUGGUUUCUGCAGGCUGAAACAGAACAUUUCAGUUGGCUCAGUUCAUGAAAGCCAUCUGCACCUGCUCACAAAACAGCUUAAAGAAAAAACAAACCUGCACGAUGGAUUUUACUCAUACAGACAAUAAGGAAUCGCCUCUGGCACAUGCACCCAUGAAGGAGGAGCAGCAUGAAGCAAGGAAAGGAAGAAUGCAAACGGAGAGGUCCAGAGGCUGCGAGUGAAGACAGAGCAGUACCUGGUAUUUGUACAGCCAGUAGAAUUACAGAGCCCACAAUCCAACAAAGUCUUCAUUACGGAGAAAAACUAGAAGAGUCUUUGCGUUUUCAAGACAAUAUGAAUUGAAAUGGCACCUCCUUUUUAUCACGUGC